rnacentral:rRNA from 1 species
GACGAACGUUGGCGGCGUGCCUAACACAUGCAAGUCGAGGGGUAGCAAUACCACUGGCGCACGGGUGAGUAACGCGUAGAUCAUCUGCCCCUAUCACAGACAUAACGUCGGGAAACUGACGCUAAUAUCUGAUGAGGCAAUUUAUUGUCAAAGGAGCGAUCCGGAUAGGGAUGAGUCUGCGUCUGAUUAGCUUGUUGGUAGUGUAACGGACUACCAAGGCGAUGAUCAGUAACUGGUCUGAGAGGACGAUCAGUCACACUGGAACUGAGACACGGUCCAGACUCCUACGGGAGGCAGCAGUGAGGAAUAUUGGUCAAUGGGGGCAACCCUGGAACCAGCGACGCCGCGUGAAGGAUGACAGGGCUUUGCCCCGUAAACUUCUGUCGGGAGGGAAAAAAGGACUGUUUGGCGGUCUGGGAUUGUACCUCUAAAGGAAGCACCGGCUAACUACGUGCCAGCAGCCGUCGGUAAAGUCUGUACU